AUGGCCUGGACUCCUCUGCUCCUCGCGCUCCUCUCUCUCUGCACAGGGUCCCUCUCCCAGCCUGUGCUGACCCAGCCGCCCUCCCUCUCUGCAUCUCCGGGAGCCACAGCCAGACUCACCUGCACCCUGAGCAGUGGCUUCAAUGUUGGCAGCUACUACAUAGCCUGGUACCAGCAGAAGCCAGGGAGCCCUCCCCGGUAUCUCUUAAAUUACUACUCAGACUCAGAUAAGCACCAAGGCUCCGGGGUCCCCAGCCGCUUCUCUGGAUCCAAAGACGCCUCGGCCAAUGCGGGGCUCCUGCUCAUCUCGGGGCUGCAGCCUGAGGACGAGGCUGACUAUUACUGUGCGAUCUGGUACAGCUCAGCCUGUGGCCUCUGCUGCUACUGCUCCCGCCCCCUCCACCCACCACGGUCCAGGUCCCAAGGCAGCCCCUGGAGCAUGAGGGGCCUCCUCCCUCUCCCCUCAGAGGCCUCCCAGCAGCCUCUUCCUGGACACAAGGCUGACACCACACAGGAGCCCCUCCCCAUCAGCGGGAUCCUGAGCCUCUUUGUCCUGAAGCCCCAGGUCUGA